CGUUCCUACGGGGGGCAGCAGUGAGGAAUAUUGGUCAAUGGCCGGAAGGCUGAACCAGCCAAGUCGCGUGAGGGACGACUGCCCUAUGGGUUGUAAACCUCUUUUAUAAGGGAAGAAUAAAUGCUACGUGUAGCAUGAUGCCUGUACCUUAUGAAUAAGCAUCGGCUAACUCCGUGCCAGCAGCCGCGGUAAUACGGAGGAUGCGAGCGUUAUCCGGAUUUAUUGGGUUUAAAGGGUGCGGAGGCGGUUUUUUAAGUUAGUGGUUAAACGGCGGGGGCUCAACUUGGUUUGGCAUUAA
rnacentral:rRNA from 1 species